UCCUGGCUGGCUCAGCCGAUGGAGCAUGUGACUCUUGAUCUCAGGGUUGUGAGUUCAAGCCCCACACUAGGUG
rnacentral:tRNA from 1 species